rnacentral:rRNA from 1 species
AUUGAACGCUGGCGGCAUGCCUUACACAUGCAAGUCGAACGGUAACGCGGGGCAACCUGGCGACGAGUGGCGAACGGGUGAGUAAUGUAUCGGAACGUGCCCAGUUGUGGGGGAUAACUGCUCGAAAGAGCAGCUAAUACCGCAUACGACCUGAGGGUGAAAGCGGGGGAUCGCAAGACCUCGCGCAAUUGGAGCGGCCGAUAUCAGAUUAGGUAGUUGGUGGGGUAAAGGCUCACCAAGCCAACGAUCUGUAGCUGGUCUGAGAGGACGACCAGCCACACUGGGACUGAGACACGGCCCAGACUCCUACGGGAGGCAGCAGUGGGGAAUUUUGGACAAUGGACGCAAGUCUGAUCCAGCCAUGCCGCGUGCGGGAAGAAGGCCUUCGGGUUGUAAACCGCUUUUGUCAGGGAAGAAACGCUCUGGGUUAAUACCUCGGGGUAAUGACGGUACCUGAAGAAUAAGCACCGGCUAACUACGUGCCAGCAGCCGCGGUAACAC